rnacentral:rRNA from 1 species
UACGUAGGGGGCAAGCGUUGUCCGGAAUCAUUGGGCGUAAAGCGCGCGUAGGCGGCCCGGUAAGUCCGAUCUGAAAGUCCAGGGCUCAACCCUGGAACGCGGGUGGAUACUGCCGGGCUAGAAUCCGGAAGAGGCGAGUGGAAUUCCUGGUGUAGCGGUGGAAUGCGCAGAUAUCAGGAGGAACACCAAUAGCGAAGGCGGGUCUCUGGGCAAUUCCUGACGCUGAGGCGCGAAAGCGUGGGGAGCAAACGGG